rnacentral:misc_RNA from 1 species
GUCGAUAUGCCUUCAAUAUGCGGCCUCCAUUCAGCUGCUGAUACCGUCGAUCUACGUUCCAGAGCAAGCCAGUUCGAAGGUUGCAGCUAAAACUAGAUCGAGAAGAUCCUCUAAUAGAAUCCCGGAACUAAAGCUUGUGGCUGAGAGUAGUAUCAUCUCAGAUUCCGUUAAGAAAUUUGGAAUGGAAUUCAAUGUUGAACUUCAGAGCCUGGUGC